CCUACGGGAGGCAGCAGUGAGGAAUAUUGGUCAAUGGACGCAAGUCUGAACCAGCCAUGCCGCGUGCAGGAAGACGGCUCUAUGAGUUGUAAACUGCUUUUGUACGAGGGUAAACGCAGAUACGCGUAUCUGUCUGAAAGUAUCGUACGAUUAAGGAUCGGCUAACUCCGGGCCAGCAGCCGCGGUAAUACGGAGGAUUCAAGCGUUAUCCGGAUUUAUUGGGGUUAAAGGGUGCGUAGGCGGUCGGAUAAGUUAGAGGUGAAAGCCCGAGGCUCAACUUCGGAAUUGCCACUAAGACUGUUCGGCUAGAGAGUAGUAGCGGUAGGCGGAAUGUAUGGUGUAGCGGUGAAAUGCUUAGAGAUCAGACAGAACACCGAUUGCGAAGGCAGCUUACCAAGCUACUUCUGACGUUGAGGCACGAAAGUGUGGGGAGCAAACAGGAUUAGAUACCCCGGUAGUC
rnacentral:rRNA from 1 species